UACAGAGGGUGCGAGCGUUACUCGGAGUUACUGGGCGUAAAGGGCGCGUAGGCGGUUAGACAAGUGAGAUGUGAAAUCCCUGGGCUUAACCUAGGAAUGGCAUUUUAGACUGUAAGACUAGAGAGCAGUAGAGGGUGGCGGAAUUUCCGGUGUAGCGGUGAAAUGCGUAGAGAUCCGGAGGAACACCAGCGGCGAAGGCGGCAUCCUGGACUGGUCCUGACACUCAGGAGCGAAAGCGUGGGGAGCGAUCCGG
rnacentral:rRNA from 1 species